UACGUAGGCAGCAAGCGUUGUUCGGAGUUACUGGGCGUAAAGGGCUCGUAGGUGGCCAACUAAGUCAGACGUAAAAUCCCUCAGCUUAACUGGGGAACUGCGUCUGAUACUGGAUGGCUUGAGUUUGGGAGAGGGAUGCGGAAUUCCAGGUGUAGCGGUGAAAUGCGUAGAUAUCUGGAGGAACACCGGUGGCGAAGGCGGCAUCCUGGACCCAAUACUGACACUGAGGAGCGAAAAGCCAGGGGGAGCAAAACGGGAUUAGAAAACCCC
rnacentral:rRNA from 1 species